rnacentral:rRNA from 1 species
UACGUAGGGGGCAAGCGUUGUCCGGAAUCAUUGGGCGUAAAGCGCGUGUAGGCGGCUUGGUAAGUCCGCUCUGAAAGCCCGGGGCUCAACCCCGGGAGGCGGGUGGAUACUGCUGAGCUCGAGUCCGGAAGAGGCGAGUGGAAUUCCCGGUGUAGCGGUGAAAUGCGCAGAUAUCAGGAGGAACACCGAUGGCGAAGGCAGCUCGCUGGGACGGUACUGACGCUGAGACGCGAAAGCGUGGGGAGCAAACAGG